UACAGAGGGUGCUAGCGUUGUUCGGAAUUAUUGGGCGUAAAGGGCGCGUAGGCGGUCCUGUAUGUCGGGUGUGAAAGCCCACCUCUUAAAGGUGGAAUUGCAUUCGAAACUACUGGACUGGAGUACCGGAGAGGAUGGCGGAAUUCCUGGUGUAGAGGUGAAAUUCGUAGAUAUCAGGAGGAACACCGGUGGCGAAGGCGGCCAUCUGGACGGUUACUGACGCUGAGGCGCGAAAGCGUGGGGAGCAAACAGG
rnacentral:rRNA from 1 species